rnacentral:rRNA from 1 species
GUGAACGUUGGCGGUGCGUCUAAUACAUGCAAGUCGAGCGAGGCUUCGAGCCGAGCGGCAGACGUCUGAGUCACACGUUGGUAACUACCUCAAACUCAGGGAUAACUAUGAGAAAUCAUAGCUAAUACCGGAUGGUCCCGUAAGGGUAAAGUUUUUACGGUUUGAGAGGUGCCUGCGUCCUAUCAGGUAGUUGGUGAGGUAAUGGCUCACCAAGCCUAUGACGGGUAACUGGUCUGAGAGGAUGACCAGUCAGAGGGAAACUGAGACACGGUUCCCACUUCUACGGAAGGCAGCAGUAAAGAAGCUUCCACAAUGGACGAAAGUCUGAUGGAGCGACACCGCGUGCAGGAUGAAGGCCCUUGGGUCGUAAACUGCUUUUUUGGGGGAAAAAGUCUGAUUGUACCCUAAGAAUAAGCACCGGCAAAUCACGU